rnacentral:rRNA from 1 species
UACGAAGGGAGCUAGCGUUGUUCGGAAUCACUGGGCGUAAAGCGCACGUAGGCGGAUUGCUAAGUCAGGGGUGAAAUCCCGGGGCUCAACCUCGGAACUGCCUUUGAUACUGGCGGGCUAGAGUCCUGAAGAGGUUGGUGGAAUUGCUAGUGCAGAGGUGAAAUUCAUAGAUAUUGGGAAGAACACCGGUGGCGAAGGCGGCCCACUGGUUCGGUACUGACGCUGAGGAGCGAAAGCGUGGGGAGCAAACAGG